rnacentral:tRNA from 1 species
GCCUAGGUGGCUCAGUCAGUAGAGCAUGUGACUCCUAAUCUCAGGGUCCUGAGUUCAAGCCCCAAAUUGGGCA